AAAGCGUAGUUUAGACAAAACCCCUUGCUUACACCAAGAAGUCGCUGAUUAAUCUCGGCCGCCUUGAC
rnacentral:tRNA from 1 species